rnacentral:rRNA from 1 species
CUCAGGAUGAACGCUGGCGGCGUGCUUAACACAUGCAAGUCGAACGAAGCACUUAAGAUGAUUUCUUCGGAUUGAAUCUUUGUGACUUAGUGGCGGACGGGUGAGUAACGCGUGGGCAACCUGCCUCUGUCUGGGGGAUAACAGUUAGAAAUGACUGCUAAUACCGCAUAAGCGCACAUUACCGCAUGGUAGAGUGUGAAAAACGUUAGUGGACAGAGAUGGACCCGCGUUAGAUUAGCCAGUUGGUGGGGUAACGGCCUACCAAAGCGACGAUCUAUAGCCGGCCUGAGAGGGCGACCGGCCACAUUGGGACUGAGACACGGCCCAAACUCCUACGGGAGGCAGCAGUGGGGAAUAUUGCACAAUGGGGGAAACCCUGAUGCAGCGACGCCGCGUGAGUGAAGAAGUAUUUCGGUAUGUAAAGCUCUAUCAGCAGGGAAGAAAAUGACGGUACCUGACUAAGAAGCCCCGGCUAACUACGUGCCAGCCGCAGC